AACGGCCAUACCAUGCUAAAUAUACCGGUUCUCGUUAGAUCACCGAGGUCAAGCAUCAUCGGGCGCGGUCAGUUCUUGGGUGGGUGGGGGACCACCUGGGAACACCGCGUGCCGUU